ACCGGCAGCAGCGAAGGC
rnacentral:miRNA from 1 species